rnacentral:rRNA from 1 species
CAAUAGCGUAUAUUAAAGUUGUUGCAGUUAAAAAGCUCGUAGUUGAAUUUCUGGUGGGCGCGCCGGUCUUCCAAGUGUUGUACUGGGCGCAGUCCGCCAUCCUUGUGGAGAGGGCUAGCAUUGAGUUGCGUGUCGGAUCUGCAUCAUUUACUGUGAAAAAAUUAGAGUGUUUAAAGCAGGCUGUCGCUUGAAUACAUUAGCAUGGAAUAAUAAGAUAGGACUUCGGUCUAUUUUGUUGGUUGCGAACCGAGGUAAUGAUUAAUAGGGAUAGUUGGGGGUAUUCAUAUUUAAUUGUCAGAGGUGAAAUUCUUGGAUUUAUGAAAGAUGAACAACUGCGAAAGCAUUUACCAAGGAUGUUUUCAUUNA